AAUACAAAAAAUCCGAAA
rnacentral:snRNA from 1 species